rnacentral:lncRNA from 1 species
AAAGAUUCAAUGAGGGAUUUGUGUCCAGAUGUUAAAAUGUCCUCCCUGUUGUGUCCCUCAGCAGGAGCAGGUGUUACUGGGCCUGCUGGGAAAUGGAGUCCGUUCCUCUCCGUGUCUGAAGCGGCUCCAGCGGCUCCAGCUGCUCCGGACCUGCACCGCCUGCGUGAAGAGCUCCCUGGGUGCGCCUGGUGCGCCAUGUGCGGCUGGUGCAUCUGCUGCAGCCGGUCAGCAGCGUGCUGUGAGGGUCUGACGGGGAGAGCAAAGCUGCAGGAGUCUGGAAAUUAUGCAUGGCGGACUAGAUUCAUGCUGAAACUUCAGAAUACUUGCAUCCGUCCGCCAGGUUGUGUUUUGUGUUUGGAUUGAUUGUCUUCUGGUUGAAGGAUGAAUCACGGGCCAAAGAAGAACACGUCACAUUUGCGAGUGCUUCUAGUUUGUUUUUAUUUUCAGUGCGACAUCUGUGGUCCAAUCACUUACAGAGUACACUUUGUAACUUAUUGACAACUUAUUGUAGCAUUUCUUGAAGAACAAAGUCAAAGGCUGAUCCAGUUCUUCUGGACGUUUUACUUCCGCUGAAGUACUGAGAAUCUUUAAAAGUGAGUGCAUGUAGAGUAGUAUACUUGUUAAGUAUUUAUCCAUGUAAACUUUCUAAAUACACAGAAUAUUUUAAGAAUUUAAGUAGUGUACUUAAGUACACAUUUGAGGUACUUGUACUUUAAACUUUACUUUUCUACUCCACGACAUGUCAAAGGUAAAUAUUGUACUUUUUCCUGCACUACAUUUAUCUGACAGCUUUAGUUACUUCCUGUCAGUUAAACAUGUAUCUCCAGAUGUUUGUGAUGAACUGAAGGAUGAAGUUUCCUUUAUGAGAAGAUUCUCCUCCUUCAGAUAAAUAAAGUUUUUUUAAAAGCCUCUUGGAUCAGCUGGAAAAUGCAUCGUCACAAAGCUGAGAACUUGUUAGAGACACGUGGUUCUCACAGAACAGAGAUACAAACAUAUGAUGAGCUUAUAGAAUAUGAUGCAUUGUGCACAUUAAACUACCAACAGGAUGUAAAGGAGGGAAAACAUAUGCAGCAGGAACAUCACUCUGCAUAAUGAAUACUUUUACUUUAACUACAUUUAGCUGAGUGUACUUUGGAUGCCGGACGUUUACUUACAGCUGAGUAUUUUCAGUGUGGUAUUAGUACUUUUACUUCAGUAAAUGAUCUGAAUGAUCUGGUGGUGUGUGCAUGUGAAUGGAUUUAACAACAUUGAAUAGCGUGUCGUUAUCCUGCCGACUAUUUAAGGCAUUGAGAAAAGCUGCAUCUGAACAAAAACAGGUAUCAUUGCAUCGCUGGAUUUCCUCUGAUACAGAUCCUUUUGUGUUGCAGGUUUUCUGCACUCAGCUUAUGAGCUUACAGCCUUUAGCCACCGCUUCUGUACUGUACCGGCUUAUAUGUGUGAAAGCAUCGAUCUCCCUCUUCACUUGAGUCCACGCGAGCCUCACUGUUGCUCCACCCUCUGAAAGUGUUCAAAGAUGAGCAGCAGAUAAGCGCUGUAGAGUGUGCUCACACUGCUGUGAUGGUCCUACAAGGGAAACGUUUAUGUUGUUUAAAAUGUGUGUGGGACUCUGUUAGCAGCCUGCAGGGCGGGUGUUGAGGCAGGCAGUAACACAUGCAGGCAGUAAAACAUGCAGACAGAAAAAAAUGCUGGCAGUAAAAACAUGCAGACAGUAAAAACAUGCAGACAGUAAAGACAUGCAGGCAGUAAAGACAUGCAGACAGUUAAAACAUGCAGACAGUUAAAACAUGCAGACAGUUAAAACAUGCAGGCAUGUAAAGACAUGCAGGCAUGUAAAGACAUGCAGGCAGUUAAAGACAUGCAGGCAGUUAAAACAUGCAGGCAGUAAAGACAUGCAGACAGUUAAAACAUGCAGGCAGUUAAAACAUGCAGGCAGUAAAGACAUGCAGACAGUUAAAACAUGCAGGCAGUUAAAACAUGCAGACAGUUAAAACAUGCAGGCAGUUAAAACAAUGCAGGUAGUAAAGACAUGCAGGCAGUAAAAACAUGCAGACAGUAAAGACAUGCAGACAGUAAAGACAUGCAGACAGUAAAAACAUGCAGGCAGUAAAAACAUGCAGACAGUUAAAACAAUGCAGGUAGUAAAGACAUGCAGACAGUAAAGACAUGCAGGCAGUAAAGACAUGCAGACAGUAAAGACAUGCAGGCAGUAAAAACAUGCAGACAGUUAAAACAAUGCAGGUAGUAAAGACAUGCAGACAGUAAAGACAUGCAGGCAGUAAAAACAUGCAGACAGUAAAGACAUGCAGACAGUAAAACAAUGCAGGCAGUAAAGACAUGCAGGCAGUAAAAACAUGCAGACAGUAAAGACAUGCAGACAGUAAAACAAUGCAGGUAGAAAAACAUGCAGACAGUAAAGACAUGCAGACAGUAAAACAAUGCAGGUAGAAAAACAUGCAGACAGUAAAACAAUGCAGGUAGUAAAAACAUGCAGGCAAUAAAAACAUGCAGACAGUUAAAACAUGCAGACAGUAAAAACAUGCAGGCAGCUCCUCAGCUCCAGUACUGAGAGCCGUGCUGUCCGUGGUGCUGAAGGCUGCUGGAUGCUGAAGACUGCUGGAUGCUGUAUCAAUCCACGCUGUGAUUUCAGAUAUCCAGUGCUGACAUGGAUGACGGUGCGGCCGGCCUGUCAGGACAAUGUUUCUGAGUGUGUUGUCUCGUGUGAGGCAGAAGUGGAAUAAAACAGCCAGUGAUUCCUAACACUGAAAGCAGCACACGCAUAAAUAAAGCAGGUCAGUGAUUUAUCUUCCUGGAUGAUGGUGAAAGUGUGCUGAUGUGGAGUGAAACACAUUCGUGAGAAAAGCCUACUACUGUUCUUCCUCCCGCCUGCUGCAGCGCGCGCGUCUCUGCAAGGCGACGUU